UCCUACGGGGGGCAGCAGUGAGGAAUAUUGGUCAAUGGGCUUACGCCUGAACCAGCCAAGUCGCGUGAGGGAAGACUGCCCUAUGGGUUGUAAACCUCUUUUGUCAGGGAGCAACGCCGGCUACGUGUAGCCGGACUGAGAGUACCUGAAGAAAAAGCAUCGGCUAACUCCGUGCCAGCAGCCGCGGUAAUACGGAGGAUGCGAGCGUUAUCCGGAUUUACUGGGUGUAAAGGGAGCGUAGACGGCAUAGCAAGUCUGAUGUGAAAGAUCGGGGCUCAACCCCGGGCCUGCAUUGGAAACUGUUA
rnacentral:rRNA from 1 species